AUUGAACGCUGGCGGCAGGCCUAACACAUGCAAGUCGAACGAGUGGCGGACGGGUGAGUAAUGUCUGGGAAACUGCCUGAUGGAGGGGGAUAACUACUGGAAACGGUAGCUAAUACCGAAUACCCUCAGAUGUGCCAAGAUGGGAUUAGCUAGUUGGUGGGGUAACGGCUAACCAAGGCGACGAUCCCUAGCUGGUCUGAGAGGAUGACCAGCCACACUGGAACGGAGACACGGUCCAGACUCCGACGGGAGGCAGCAUGGGGGAAUAUUGCACAAUGGGCUCAAGCCUGAUGCAGCCAUGCGGCGUGGAUGAAGAAGGCCUUCGGGUUGUAAAGUACUUUCAGCGGGGAGGCGUUACCCGCAGAAGAAGCACCGGCUAACUCCGUGCCAGCAGCCGCGGUAAUUC
rnacentral:rRNA from 1 species